AAGCUCGUAGUUGAAUUUCGGGAUUAAUUUAUUGGUCGUGCAAUAGUACGUACUGGUAUUAUUGAUUCCUACCUUCUGACGAACCAUGAUGUCAUUAAUUUGGUGUCAUGGGGAAUCAGGACUGUUACUUUGAAAAAAUUAGAGUGUUUAAAGCAGGCUCACGCUUGAAUACCUUAGCAUGGAAUAACGAAAUAGGACGUUUGAUUCUAUUUUGUUGGUUUCUAGGAUCGACGUAAUGAUUAAUAGGGAUAGUUGGG
rnacentral:rRNA from 1 species